GCCAGAGUGGUAUAGUGUUUUGAGUAUUAGACUACAGCUCUGGAGACCAGGGUUCAAUUCCUCGCUUGGCCA